rnacentral:rRNA from 1 species
AUAAUGGGUCAGCGACUUAUAUUCUGUAGCAAGGUUAACCGAAUAGGGGAGCCGAAGGGAAACCGAGUCUUAACUGGGCGUUAAGUUGCAGGGUAUAGACCCGAAACCCGGUGAUCUAGCCAUGGGCAGGUUGAAGGUUGGGUAACACUAACUGGAGGACCGAACCGACUAAUGUUGAAAAAUUAGCGGAUGACUUGUGGCUGGGGGUGAAAGGCCAAUCAAACCGGGAGAUAGCUGGUUCUCCCCGAAAGCUAUUUAGGUAGCGCCUCGUGAAUUCAUCUCCGGGGGUAGAGCACUGUUUCGGCAAGGGGGUCAUCCCGACUUACCAACCCGAUGCAAACUGCGAAUACCGGAGAAUGUUAUCACGGGAGACACACGGCGGGUGCUAACGUCCGUCGUGAAGAGGGAAACAACCCAGACCGCCAGCUAAGGUCCCAAAGUCAUGGUUAAGUGGGAAACGAUGUGGGAAGGCCCAGACAGCCAGGAUGUUGGCUUAGAAGCAGCCAUCAUUUAAAGAAAGCGUAAUAGCUCACUGGUCGAGUCGGCCUGCGCGGAAGAUGUAACGGGGCUAAACCAUGCACCGAAGCUGCGGCAGCGACGCUGAUGCGUUGUUGGGUAGGGGAGCGUUCUGUAAGCCUGUGAAGGUGUGCUGUGAGGCAUGCUGGAGGUAUCAGAAGUGCGAAUGCUGACAUAAGUAACGAUAAAGCGGGUGAAAAGCCCGCUCGCCGGAAGACCAAGGGUUCCUGUCCAACGUUAAUCGGGGCAGGGUGAGUCGACCCCUAAGGCGAGGCCGAAAGGCGUAGUCGAUGGGAAACAGGUUAAUAUUCCUGUACUUGGUGUUACUGCGAAGGGGGGACGGAGAAGGCUAUGUUGGCCGGGCGACGGUUGUCCCGGUUUAAGCGUGUAGGCUGGUUUUCCAGGCAAAUCCGGAAAAUCAAGGCUGAGGCGUGAUGACGAGGCACUACGGUGCUGAAGCAACAAAUGCCCUGCUUCCAGGAAAAGCCUCUAAGCAUCAGGUAACAUCAAAUCGUACCCCAAACCGACACAGGUGGUCAGGUAGAGAAUACCAAGGCGCUUGAGAGAACUCGGGUGAAGGAACUAGGCAAAAUGGUGCCGUAACUUCGGGAGAAGGCACGCUGAUAUGUAGGUGAAGUCCCUCGCGGAUGGAGCUGAAAUCAGUCGAAGAUACCAGCUGGCUGCAACUGUUUAUUAAAAACACAGCACUGUGCAAACACGAAAGUGGACGUAUACGGUGUGACGCCUGCCCGGUGCCGGAAGGUUAAUUGAUGGGGUCAGCGCAAGCGAAGCUCUUGAUCGAAGCCCCGGUAAACGGCGGCCGUAACUAUAACGGUCCUAAGGUAGCGAAAUUCCUUGUCGGGUAAGUUCCGACCUGCACGAAUGGCGUAAUGAUGGCCAGGCUGUCUCCACCCGAGACUCAGUGAAAUUGAACUCGCUGUGAAGAUGCAGUGUACCCGCGGCAAGACGGAAAGACCCCGUGAACCUUUACUAUAGCUUGACACUGAACAUUGAGCCUUGAUGUGUAGGAUAGGUGGGAGGCUUUGAAGUGUGGACGCCAGUCUGCAUGGAGCCGGCCUUG